GAAGAGAGCAUUAUUUUUGUUGAAAUUAUCUGUUUUAUCUGUGGUCGUUAGAGGGGGAAAUGUAUGUAAUGUUCCCCAAAGCAAAAACCAGAUUGAUUGGGAUAAGAUACCAAGAAAUUGGUAUCUUGCAUUCGACAAUGGAGAUCCUAUCACAAGUGACUUGGAGUGCAAAACAGCUCUGGACAUGAAGUUAACAACAACCGGGUACAAGUUUACCGCAAAGUACUUUGUGAACGG